CUUGUCUACAUCAGAAAGUUGCAGCGCUGGUGAGGGAGUUACAGCGCUGCAACUUAGGAGGUGUACACAUCUGCAGGGCACCACCAGCGCUGCAACUCCCUGUUUGCAGCGCUGGCCGUACUCCCGUUUUGUCUCGGGUGUAGAGGAUCCAGCGCUGGUGAUCCAGCGCUGGUAAUCAAGUAUAGACACUUACCAGCGCUUUUCUUGACCUCCGUGGAAUAAGCAGGUAUCCCAGCAUACCUGAGGAAGCCUCUGGUAAUCAAGCUGGUCUCCUUCCCCGGUUUGCUCUCGCGUUCCCGGAACCCCGAGCAAGCAGGUCUCCUUCCCUGCGGUUUGCAGGGUGGUUCGGGGAACGCGAGAGCAAACCGCGGCGAAGCUGGUCUCCUUUCCCGGUUUGCUCUCUCGUUCCCCGAACCCCCGAGCAAGCAGGUCUCCUUCCCUGCGGUUUGCAGGGUGGUUCGGGGAACGCGAGAGCAAACCGCAGCGAAGCUGGUCUCCUUUCCCGGUUUGCUCUCUCGUUCCCCGAACCCCCGAGCAAGCAGGUCUCCUUCCCUGCGGUUUGCAGGGUGGUUCGGGGAACGCGAGAGCAAACCGG